AUGGGAGAGUUCACACCAACUAGGGGUCUCAGACAGGGAGAUCAACUCUCCAUAUUUCUUCUUGAUGUGUGCUGGAGGAUUAUCAAGUUUAUUGGAUCACGCAAAGGAGGUUCGUUGCAUCGAACGGGGGCAGGGGGUAAGAGAGAUGGUGGCAUGGGGUUUAGAGAUCUACAUGCUUUUAACUUAGCUAUGCUAGCAAAUCAAAGUUGGAGAUUGAUUUUAAACCUAGAUAGCUUAUGUGCUAGAGUGCUUCGAGCAAAGUACUAUCCUGAUGGGAACCUCUUGAAAGCGCCAAAAAACGGGUCAUCAUUUACAUCCCAAAGUAUAGUGGCUGGGUUGCAGACUUUCAAAAGGGGGCAUAUUUGGCGAGUUGGCUUUGGUAGAAGCAUUAACAUAUGGGAAGACCAUUGGAUCCCGUGCAGUCCAUCAAGGAAAGUUAUCUCAUUGAAAGGAAUGUGUAUGUUGUAAACUGUUGAUGAACUGAUUGACCCUUGGAUAGGAACCUGGGGUGAAGCACUGCUACGUGAUAACUUUAUAUCCAUUGAUGUUGAGCAAAUUUUGAUGAUACCCCUGAGUACAAAUCUGACAGAGGACUUCAUAGCAUGGCAUAAAACAUGGCCCUUCUCUUUCUCUAUCCAACCCACGUACUAUAUAGAAUGGGCUUACCAGUUUAGUGGCCGGAUAAGAAGAGAAGAGGACGGACCGUCAUCAUCCAAUCCUGUUUGGGAGAUCCUCUGCAAACUGAAUGUUCCUAGCAAGGUGAAAAAGAUUGGCUGGAAGGCGCUACAUGGGAUGAUACCGGAUAUGGAAGUACUCACAAACUGACAUAUUCCGGUCUCGGGACAAUUUCUGGUUUGUAAAAAAGGAGCAGAAAAUUUGAAGCAUCUUAUGUUCACUUGUGACUGAGCUAGAGUUGUUCGGCUAUGGGAGUUCACGAGAUAG
rnacentral:rRNA from 1 species